rnacentral:rRNA from 1 species
GAGUUUGAUCAUGGCUCAGGAUGAACGCUAGCGGCAGGCCUAAUACAUGCAAGCUGAACGGUAAAUAUUGUAGCAAUACGAUAUGAGAGUAGCGUAAGGGUGCGUAACACGUAUGCAAUCUGCCCUGUACAGGAGAAUAGCUCGGGGAAACCCGGAUUAAUACUCCGUAAUAUUAUUGGAAGGCAUCUUUUGAUAAUUAAAGUCGCAAGACGGUAUAGGAUGAGCAUGCGUCUGAUUAGCUAGUUGGUAGUGUAACGGACUACCAAGGCGAUGAUCAGUAGGGGAACUGAGAGGUUGAUCCCCCACACUGGCACUGAGAUACGGGCCAGACUCCUACGGGAGGCAGCAGUAGGGAAUAUUGGUCAAUGGAUGCAAGUCUGAACCAGCCAUGCCGCGUGCAGGAAGAAGGCCUUCUGGGUUGUAAACUGCUUUUGCCGGGGGAUAAAAUAUCCAUGCGUGGAUAAUUGAAGGUACCCGGUGAAUAAGCCACGGCUAACUACGUGCCCAGCAGCCGCGGUAAUACGUAGGUGGCAAGCGUUGUCCGGAUUUUAUUGGGGUUUUAAAGGGUGCGUAGGCGGCCUAUUAAGUCAGUGCUGAAAUAUCCCCGGCUUAACCCGGGGAGGGU